UAAAUUUUGACCUGAUGAACAAUUUUCCCCAUGUCAGAUUUGCUCUAAAUGCUUUGGUUUUUGAGUUAUAAGCCAAAAACUGCAUUUUACCCCCAUGUUCUAUUUUUAGCCAUGGCGGCCAUCUUGGUUGGUUGACCGGGUCACCGGACACAUUUUUAAAACUAGAUACCCCAAUGAUGAUUGUGGCCAUGUUUAGUUUAAUUUGGCCCAGUAGUUUCAGAGGAGAAGAUUUUUCUAAAAGAUGACUAAGAUUUACGAAAAAUGGUUAAAAAUUGACUAUAAAGGGCAAUAACUCCUAAAGGGGUCAAUUGACCAUUUCGGUCAUGUUGAUUUAUUUGUAAAUCUUACUUUGCUG
rnacentral:lncRNA from 1 species